rnacentral:rRNA from 1 species
UACGAAGGGUGCUAGCGUUGUUCGGAAUUACUGGGCGUAAAGCGCGCGUAGGCGGUGAUGCAAGUCAGGGGUGAAAUCCCGGAGCUUAACUCCGGAACUGCCUUUGAAACUGCAUUGCUGGAGUGUGUGAGGGGAUAGCGGAAUUCCUAAUGUAGAGGUGAAAUUCGUAGAUAUUAGGAGGAACACCGGUGGCGAAGGCGGCUAUCUGGCACACAACUGACGCUGAGGAGCGAAAGCGUGGGGAGCGAACAGG